rnacentral:rRNA from 1 species
CAGUCGCCGCGGGAAUACGGAGGGUGCAAGCGUUGUCCGGAUUUAUUGGGUUUAAAGGGUGCGCAGGCGGGGGGGUCAGUCCGCGGUGAAAGACGAUCGCUCAACGAUUGCAGUGCCGUGGAUACUGCCCUUCUUGAAUCUGGUUGAGGCCGGUGGAAUUGACCGUGUAGCGGUGAAAUGCAUAGAUAUGGUCAAGAACUCCAAUUGCGAAGGCAGCCGGCUGGGCCAGCAUUGACGCUCAGGCACGAGAGUGCGGGGAUCAAACAGGAUUAGAUACCCCGGUAGUCCCUGUCUCUUAUAC